rnacentral:lncRNA from 1 species
CUGGAAUGAUUUUUCUCUCCCUUCUUUUCCUAGAUUUCCAAAAGACCUUGGCUCAGGUGUCACUUUUGCAGAAAAGCAUUUACUGACUGUUGACUUGGCCAAAUCCCUGUGCUGUGUUUCCUAGUACGCCACACCCUUGGGACUGCAGCCCUGUGAAGACUGAGGUUCUGACGAAAGUCAAGAAAAAUCUGCAUUGCAACUCUUCGAAGAGAAGAAUGUGACAUCUUGUGUCGUUUUCCAGAGGCAGCUGCAUAAAUCACAGGAGACUGAAUACAGGAGAAGAUGUAAGAAUCCAGUCAGCUUCUAUCAAACCAGACAUAAAAGACAUUUGCAGAUAUGUAAAACAAUGCCACUCUUCACAUUGCAUUUUUAAAAAAUAUUAUUUCCCAGAAAAUAUAUCAUCUAUGUUAAUAUGGAA